rnacentral:rRNA from 1 species
UACGUAGGGUGCAAGCGUUAAUCGGAAUUACUGGGCGUAAAGCGUGCGCAGGCGGCUUUGCAAGACAGAUGUGAAAGCCCCGGGCUUAACCUGGGAAUGGCAUUGGAAACUGGCGGGCUUGAGUGCGGCAGAGGGGGGUGGAAUUCCGCGUGUAGCAGUGAAAUGCGUAGAGGUGCGGAGGAACACCGAUGGCGAAGGCAGCCCCCUGGGUCGACACUGACGCUCAGGCACGAAAGCGUGGGGAGCAAACAGG